rnacentral:rRNA from 1 species
GACGAACGCUGGCGGCGUGCUUAACACAUGCAAGUCGAACGGAAAGGCCCUGCUUUUGUGGGGUGCUCGAGUGGCGAACGGGUGAGUAACACGUGAGUAACCUGCCCUUGACUUUGGGAUAACUUCAGGAAACUGGGGCUAAUACCGGAUAGGAGCUCCUGCUGCAUGGAGGGGGUUGGAAAGAUUCGGCGGUUGGGGAUGGACUCGCGGCUUAUCAGCUUGUUGGUGGGGUAGUGGCUUACCAAGGCUUUGACGGGUAGCCGGCCUGAGAGGGUGACCGGCCACAUUGGGACUGAGAUACGGCGCAGACUCCUACGGGAGGCAGCAGUGGGGAGUAUUGCACAAUGGGCGGAAGCCUGAUGCAGCAACGCCGCGUGCGGGAUGACGGCCUUCGGGUUGUAAACCGAUUUCGCCUGUGACGAAGCGUUAGUGACGGUAAUGGGUAAAGAAGCACCGGCUAACUACGUG